UUGGUCUUGCACACAACGGUAAGCCAGUGGUAAUGUCAGUGCAAGAAGGAUAUUACCAUAGCA
rfam:Porcine epidemic diarrhea virus, complete genome